rnacentral:tRNA from 1 species
UGCCGAAUCGUCUAAUGGUAGGACGCCACCCUUUGGAGGUGGUUAUUGGGGUUCGAAUCCCUGUUCGGCAA